UCCACACCGUAAACGAUGGACACUAGUUGUCGGGGAGCUUGCCUCUUCGGUGACGAAGCUAACGCAUUAAGUGUCCCGCCUGGGGAGUACGUCCGCAAGGAUGAAACCCAAAGGAAUUGACGGGGCCCGCACAAGCGGUGAGCAUGUGCUUAAUUCGAUCAACGCGAAGAACCUACCUGUCUUGACAUACACUGACCUAUCAGAGAUGUAUUUUUUCUCGGAGA
rnacentral:rRNA from 1 species